rnacentral:rRNA from 1 species
AGCGAACGCUGGCGGCAGGCUUAACACAUGCAAGUCGAACGGGCGUAGCAAUACGUCAGUGGCAGACGGGUGAGUAACACGUGGGAACGUACCCUUUGGUUCGGAACAACACAGGGAAACUUGUGCUAAUACCGGAUAAGCCCUUACGGGAAAGAUUUAUCGCCGAAGGAUCGGCCCGCGUCUGAUUAGCUUGUUGGUGAGGUAAUGGCUCACCAAGGCGACGAUCAGUAGCUGGUCUGAGAGGAUGAUCAGCCACACUGGGACUGAGACACGGCCCAGACUCCUACGGGAGGCAGCAGUGGGGAAUAUUGGACAAUGGGCGCAAGCCUGAUCCAGCCAUGCCGCGUGAGUGAUGAAGGCCCUAGGGUUGUAAAGCUCUUUUGGCGGGAAGAUAAUGACGGUACCCGCAGAAUAAGCCCCGGCUAACUUCGUGCCAGCAGCCGC